rnacentral:misc_RNA from 1 species
GAUGAAGAACGCAGCGAAAUGCGAUACGUAAUGUGAAUUGCAGAAUUCAGUGAAUCAUCGAAUCUUUGAACGCACAUUGCGCCCGCCAGUAUUCUGGCGGGCAUGCCUGUUCGAGCGUCAUUUCAACCCUCAAGCCCCAGCGGCCUGGUGUUGGGGACCGGCGACCUCGCCCGAGCCCGCCCUCCGGGGCGCGUGCCCGGUGCGUCCGCCGCCCCCGAAAUGAAUUGGCGGCCUCGUCGCGGCCUCCUCUGCGUAGUAGCACAACCUCGCAAGCGGGAGCGCGACGCGGCCACUGCCGUAAAACGCCCAACUUUUUUAGAGUUGACCUCGGAUCAGGUAGGAAUACCCGCUGAACUUAAGCAUAUCAAUAAGCGGAGGA